rnacentral:rRNA from 1 species
AGCGAACGCUGGCGGCAGGCCUAACACAUGCAAGUCGAACGGACCCUUCGGGGUUAGUGGCGGACGGGUGAGUAACACGUGGGAACGUGCCUUUAGGUUCGGAAUAGCUCCUGGAAACGGGUGGUAAUGCCGAAUGUGCCCUUCGGGGGAAAGAUUUAUCGCCUUUAGAGCGGCCCGCGUCUGAUUAGCUAGUUGGUGAGGUAAUGGCUCACCAAGGCGACGAUCAGUAGCUGGUCUGAGAGGAUGACCAGCCACAUUGGGACUGAGACACGGCCCAAACUCCUACGGGAGGCAGCAGCGGGGAAUAUUGGACAAUGGGGGCAACCCUGACCCAGCCAUGCCGCGUGAGUGAUGAAGGCCUUCGGGUUGUAAAGCCCUUUUGGCGGGGACGAUGAUGACGGUACCCGCAGAAUAAGCCCCGGCUAACUUCGUGCCAGCCGCCGCGGUAAUAC